rnacentral:lncRNA from 1 species
AAUAUUUAUAUUUUCAAAUUUGUAUUUGAAAAUAACAUAGAUUAUAGCAUAACUUUAGCUAUUAUUUACACAUUCUAUAUCACAUCUUCAUCAGCAUUCAGUUCAAAAUAUUUCCUAAUUUCCAUUGUGGUUUCAUUUUAGCCCACAUUUUCUCAUUUUCAUUGAAAAUCUUUUGGAACUUUAUAAAGGUAGUAGUUACACAAUAUUGAAAAUGCAAUAAAGCCACUGAAUUAUUCACUUCAAAGUGGUUGCAUUUAUGUAAUUGCUUACUCUUAAGUGGUUUAUUAUGUGUUACAUGAAUUUAUUUCAAACACCUCACCUUUUAAAAAGUGCAUUACUCAAUUUCUAAGCAUUUAGACAUUUUGUUAUUCUAGCUUCAUUCCACUAAGUUUAAAGAACAUAUUCUAUCUGAUGCUAAUCCCUUGAAAUUUACCACAACUUUUAUGGUUUGUUUUUGUAAGUAAAUGUGAAAAGAUUAUUUAUUUUGUGGUAUUUUGGUGUGUUUUUGUGUUAAUCAUUUCGUUUAAAUCCCUUAUAUCAUUUUUCUUUAUUUUUUAAAUCUGCUUGUUCUGUCAGUUACUGAUAGAUUAGUUUUUUAAAAAUCCCACUAUGAUUGUAG